GAUGAACGCUGGCGGCGUGCUUAACACAUGCAAGUCGAACGGAGCUAUGACACGGAGUUUUCGGAUGAAGUGCUAUUGCUUAGUGGCGGACGGGUGAGUAACACGUGAGCAACCUACCUUUUGCAGGGGAAUAACUCUGGGAAACCAGAGCUAAUACCGCAUGUCGUGCGCUUGGGGCAUCCCAGGUGCAUGAAAGGAUUUUAUCCGGCAGAAGAUGGGCUCGCGUCCGAUUAGGUAGUUGGAGAGGUAACGGCUCCCCAAGCCGACGAUCGGUAGCCGGACUGAGAGGUCGAUCGGCCACAUUGGGACUGAGACACGGCCCAGACUCCUACGGGAGGCAGCAGUGGGGAAUAUUGGGCAAUGGGCGGAAGCCUGACCCAGCGACGCCGCGUGAAGGAGGAAGGCUUUCGAGUUGUAAACUUCUUUGGGGAGGGACGAAGAUGACGGUACCUCCAGAACAAGCCACGGCUAACUACGUGCCAGCAGCCGCGGUAAUACGUAGGUGGCGAGCGUUAUCCGGAUUUACUGGGUGUAGGGAGUAUCGACUCUCUCUGUGCCGAAGCAAACGCGAUAAGUAAUCCACCUGGGGAGUACGGCCGCAAGGCUAAAACUCAAAGGAAUUGACGGGGACCCGCACAAGCAGUGGAGUAUGUGGUUUAAUUCGAGGCAACGCGAAGAACCUUACCAGGGAUUGACAUCCUGCGCUAGGCCUGGAGACAGGUUGUUCCUUCGGGACGCAGAGACAGGUGGUGCAUGGUUGUCGUCAGCUCGUGUCGUGAGAUGUUCGGUUAAGUCCGGCAACGAGCGCAACCCUUGUUGUCAGUUACCAUCAUUAAGUUGGGGACUUUGGCGAGACUGCCGUUGACAAAACGGAGGAAGGUGGGGAUGACGUCAAAUCAUCAUGCCCCUUAUAUCCUGGGCUACACACGUACUACAAUGGGCGUUACAGCGGGCAGCCACACCGCGAGGUGGAGCGAAUCCCGAAAGGCGUCCUCAGUUCGGAUUGCAGGCUGCAACUCGCCUGCAUGAAGUCGGAAUUGCUAGUAAUGGCAGGUCAGCAUACUGCCGUGAAUACGUUCCCGGGUCUUGUACACACCGCCCGUCACACCAUGAGAGUCUGUAACACCCGAAGUCAGUAGUCUAACCUGAUUAGAUUAGGGGGACGCUGCCGAAGGUGGGAUAGAUAAUUGGGGUG
rnacentral:rRNA from 1 species